ensembl:lncRNA
ACACACACACACACACACACACACACAAGAUGGGUAUAUUGAGCCAGGCUUUGGAGAAACCAUGUCAAAGAUAAAUGUGGAGCUCUGUUAUGAAGAAUCAACAGACUUUAAAUUUGCUGCCAGUUUUGGGUGAGUUAAUCAAAAAAGUUAAAAAUAGCAACAUGAAUAAAUAAUUUGAUUGGUUUAUUUAUAUUAUUUGAACAAUGUGUUGUUGUUUUUCAGCUCUAGCAAGUUUCUUCAUCAGGAUAAGUACGUUGGAAGUAGAGCUUAGUAAGAUCUGGUGCUACGCUGACUGACGGAUCUUUCGUUGCUUCAGAACCCUCGAUAUUAAUUUCAAAACCUGAAAUCCAAAAAUAAGUGGCUGCAUCUGCUCUUACUCUCUUUAAAACUUUUCCGGUCUCUACCUAAACUCCAUGUCUGUCCUCAGGUGGAUCAAUGUCUCUUCAGCCGGUGCUGAGUGGUCCUGACGCGGCGUUCCUCAGUUCCAGGGUGACCUUCCGCUGUAUUCGACCUGACUCCUCUCUGCCAGUCACCUAUGAGCUGAUUAGGGACGGCAGCGCCCUGAUCGCCGUAGUCGCUGACCUUCCUGGGGAUCAAAAGGCUUUAUUUCACCUGAAGGUCACGGCAACGUCGGAGGGGUCGUACCACUGCAAGGCGACGACACCAGAAAGCACAGGAGUCAGCAACAGCAUCAGGCUGAGUGUAGUCACUCCAGCCUCGAACACCAGAGUGACCUCUGACCCCUUCCCCCCUGCCGCGUACGAGGGGUCACGCAUUGCACUGAGCUGCAGCGUUGCAAGGGGCUCCCAUCUUUUCUACACCUGGUUGUUCAACAGGAAGGAGGUGACAUCUUUAACCUCUCCUCCCCUUCUCCUCACUGGGAACGAGCUAGUGAUGGGGAAGGUGGCUCCAGAGCAUGCUGGGUACUAUUCUUGCAUGGCUUGGUCCGAGGUGCAAGGCGACAGGAGGUUUUCCAGCAGCCAAGAGGUCCAGAUGACAGUCAAAGCCUACCUCUCAAAGCCAAGAAUCUCUUACUCCAUCUUCAAACAGGGAGCCAGUCGGUAUGGCAACGUGACGUGCUGGUCAACAAGAGGGAGCCCUCCGGUCAACAUCUCUCUCUCUGUAAAUGACAAAGAGGUGGGAUCCGUCACAGGCGCUCAAUCCCUCGUUGCCUGGUUCCUCGUCGCCAUGGCACCGAGGCAGGACACGGCCGUCGCUCGGUGUCGCGUGAAGACUGAGGUGCAGGAGUUGACGAGUGAGCCUGUGACUCUGGAAAUGGUGCCAGUCGGAGGUCACGUGAAAGUGGAAGUUGAAUAUCUUUACAGUGCUGAUUCCAAACUAGUUGCUGCCAAGCUGACCUGCCAGGUCAGCAGAGGAACUUUCCCUCACAUCUCUUGGCUCUUGAACAAUUCCAGCCUUCCCUCUGAGACACAUGAGGACUCCCUCACUCACCCCGUCCCGUAUCACGGCGCCCUGGCUGACCGUAGACGAACACUCUUUCUGGCCAAACUUGGCCCAGAGGAGUCUGGGUAUUACGUCUGCAGGGCCAGGGACAGCUACAACGACUCCGGCGCCUGGCUGGAGAGUGCAGCCGUGCUGGUGGGAGUCACAGAGGUUUUUCUGAACACCGUCGAAGUCCUCACCAUUGUGUUCUGCUGCUUCCUUUUUCUGAUGCUGGCCGUCGGUGCCGGCUGUGUUUACAAGAUGUUUGACCACAAGCACGCUCAAGCCCAAGUUGCUACAACAGAGUAA